UGGGGAAUAUUGGACAAUGGAGGAAACUCUGAUCCAGCAAUUCUGUGUGUGUGAAGAAGGUUUUAGGACUGUAAAACACUUUUAGUAGGGAAGAAAAAAAUGACGGUACCUACAGAAGAAGCAACGGCUAAAUACGUGCCAGCAGCCGCGGUAAUACGUAUGGGGCGAGCGUUGUCCGGAAUUAUUGGGCGUAAAGGGUACGUAGGCGGUUUUUUAAGUCAGGUGUCAAAGCGUGGAGCUUAACUCCAUUAAGCACUUGAAACUGAAAGACUUGAGUGAAGGAGAGGAAAGUGGAAUUCCUAGUGUAGCGGUGAAAUGCGUAGAUAUUAGGGGGAAUACCGGUGGCGAAGGCGACUUUCUGGACUUUUACUGACGCUCAGGUACGAAAGCGUGGGGAGCAAACAGG
rnacentral:rRNA from 1 species